GGACUACUGGGGUUUCUAAUCCCGUUCGCUCCCCUCGCUUUCGCCUCUCAGCGUCAGGUACCCUCCAGGACACUGCCUUCGCCUUUGGUAUUCCUCCGGAUAUCUACGCAUUUCACCACUACACCCGGAAUUCUGUGUCCCUCUCUGGCCCUCAAGUCAUCCCGUUUUCAAGACCCUCUCCCGGUUAAGCCGGAAGCUGUCACCUCAAACCUCGAUGACCGCCUACUUGCCCUUUACGCCCAGUAACUCCGGACAACGCUCGCCCCCUACGUAUUACCGCGGCUGCUGGCAC
rnacentral:rRNA from 1 species